UCCAGGUUAUAAAAAUGUUUAUUCCAAGUUAUGAGUAAGUAUAUUCUAAGGAAGGUUACAAGUAAGUAUAUUACAAGUUUUAUGCCACAAUAUUCUAGGGUAGGUUUUAAGUAAAUAUAUUCCAAGGAAUGUCACAAGUAAGUAUAUUCCAAGUUAUAAAAAAGUUUAUUCCAAGUUAUGAGUAAGUAUAUUCCAAGGAAUGUCACAAGUAAGUAUAUUCCAAGUUAUAAUUAAGUAUAUUCAAAGGAAGGUGAUAAGUAAGCAUAUUACAAGUUUUAAGUAGCUUAUUAUAUGGGUAAGUUUAUUCCAAGUUAUAAGUAAGUAUAUUCCAAAUUAUAAGUAAGUUUUUUCCAAGUCAUAUACCAAGUUAUAAGUAAGUAUAUUCCAAGUUAAAAGUAAGAACACAUUUCGUAUUUUAAAAACGCUUCUUUCUCAAGCUUUAUCGACAUAAAAAACAAUUCCUAGACACAUGUUGGUCUGUGAACAUCCUGAAAUACAGCGUAGUUUAUCACUGAAGAUUUCAAUAUUCGUGGAUGUUUCGGAACCUCUGAAUUAAAAACGCAGUGAGAAUAUAUCCCAAUUGUUUCACUCACGUCUGAAUAUACUUUAAUUGAAUCAAAAUAUAAGCCAGGAUAUUAUUUGAAGGUUUGUAGAAAGUGAAGUGUUUCUUUAAGGGCGCAUCGGCCGAUCAUCCGAGCAGCCUAUAAACCCUAAUUGAUGUGAAAUAUUAAAAUAUACACAGUUGACCAGACCAUUCGAUUCAAAUUAUUUGAUGUUAUGUAUCGAAUAAAAAGUGGUUGUCCGA